rnacentral:rRNA from 1 species
UACAGAGGUCUCAAGCGUUGUUCGGAUUCAUUGGGCGUAAAGGGUGCGUAGGCGGCGCGGUAAGUCGGGUGUGAAAUCUCGGGCUUAACUCCGAAACUGCAUUCGAUACUGCCGUGCUUGAGGACUGGAGAGGAGACUGGAAUUUACGGUGUAGCGGUGAAAUGCGUAGAUAUCGUAAGGAAGACCAGUGGCGAAGGCGGGUCUCUGGACAGUUCCUGACGCUGAGGCACGAAGGCCCAGGGGGAGCAAAACGGGG